AGCGUUGUUCGGAAUUACUGGGCGUAAAGGGCUCGUAGGUGGCCAACUAAGUCAGACGUGAAAUCCCUCGGCUUAACCGGGGAACUGCGUCUGAUACUGGAUGGCUUGAGGUUGGGAGAGGGAUGCGGAAUUCCAGGUGUAGCGGUGAAAUGCGUAGAUAUCUGGAGGAACACCGGUGGCGAAGGCGGCAUCCUGGACCAAUUCUGACACUGAGGAGCGAAAGCCAGGGGAGCAAACGGG
rnacentral:rRNA from 1 species